rnacentral:tRNA from 1 species
GGUGAUGUAACUCAGUGGUAAAGUGCUUGCCUGGCAUGCAAGAAGCCAUGUUCAAUCACUAGCACUG